UACGUAGGUGGCAAGCGUUGUCCGGAAUUAUUGGGCGUAAAGCGCGCGCAGGCGGUCCUUUAAGUCUGAUGUGAAAGCCCACGGCUCAACCGUGGAGGGUCAUUGGAAACUGGGGGACUUGAGUGCAGAAGAGGAGAGUGGAAUUCCACGUGUAGCGGUGAAAUGCGUAGAGAUCUGGAGGAACACCGGUGGCGAAGGCGGCAUCCUGGACCGACACUGACGCUGAGGAGCGAAAGCCAGGGGAGCAAACGGG
rnacentral:rRNA from 1 species